AUGUCGUACAUACCAGCUGACGUCACAAACCUACAGGCCAAGUACCGUAGAGAGAGCAAGUUGGCAGACAUAGAGGCCACAAUAGCCUACUUCGAUGCGAAAGCAAAGGAAGAUCCAGAUUUCUUCUACAGGAUAAGGUUGGACGAUGAGGACCGUGUCAGGAACAUGUAUUGGGUGGAUGGUGCUGCAAGGAGAGCCUACAAACAUUUCCGAGAUUGCAUUUCAUUCGACGCGACGUACCUCACCAAUAUGUACAAGAUGCCAUGCGCUCCGUUCAUAGGAAUAAAUAACCACAAUCAGUCGUUGCAGUUUGGAUGCGGCCUCGUCCGGAACGAAGACACAGAUGGGUACGUUUGGCUAUUCAAGACCUUCUUGGAGUGCAUGGAUGGACUUGCUCCGAUGAACAUAAUAACGGACCAAGAUUUCAGCAUGCGUGCAGGCAUAGAGGAGGUCUUUCCGUUGGCAGUGCACAGGCACUGCAGGUGGCACAUUAUAAAGAAGGCUGAGGAGACGCUAGGACCGUUCUUUGCCGACCGUCCAGAGCUGCACAAGGCAUUCGAGCUGUGCGUGGACCACAGCUUGACGGUGGAGGAGUUUGAAAGGAGCUGGAUGGCCAUGACUGAAACACAUCAAGUCCAGGACAACGAGACUCUUGUUAGCCUGUGGGAGAAGCGAAUGUACUGGGUGCCGGCCUACUUCAUGCAGUGCUUCUUCCCCUUUCUGCAGACUACGCAGCGCAGCGAGGGGUUCAAUGCUGUUUUAAAGCGGUACGUCAGCCCUGGCAACUCAUUGCUACAGUUUGCCAAGCAGUACACAGCUUUGCAACAAAAAAUUCUGGGAUCUGAGCUACAGCAAGAAGCGACCACAGCCCUAAAGUAG
rnacentral:rRNA from 1 species